GCGGCCGGGAGCGGCGGCACCACCGCGGGCAGCUUCGGCAGCGGCGGCAGACCCGCCAGUUCCGGCGCCGGCAGACCGCC
rnacentral:tRNA from 1 species